rnacentral:sRNA from 1 species
UUCAGGCUCGGGUGAAACGGAAAUCCUUUUUUGGGUUUUUCUCCCAAAAAAGAUUGAAGUGUAUAGCCCGACCCUUG